UAAGUAUAAAGACCAAGUAGGAUGAAACUGCAGUCGGCUCAUUAUAACAGUAAUAGUUUCUUUGGUUAGUAAAGUACAAGGAUAGCUUUGUGAAUGAUAAAGAUAAUACUUGAGACGAUCCAAUUUGUAUUAGUACAAAGUGGCCAAUUUAUGUAAGUAAAUUGAGAAAUGACAUUCUAAGUGAGUUAGGAUGCCACGACAAUUGUAGAACACACAGUGUUUAACAAGUAACCAAUGAGAAUUUCUGAUCUAUCAAUCAGUUGGUAGUAUCGAGGACUACCAAGAUUAUAACGGAUAACGAGGAAUUGGGGUUCGACAUCGGAGAGGGAGCUUUACAGAUGGCUACCACUUCUAAGGAAGGCAGCAGGCGCGUAAAUUACCCACUUUCGAAUUGAAGAGGUAGUGACGACACAUAACUCUAAAGCUGAGCAAAAUCAAUUCUUGAAGGAAUGAGUAGGAGGUAAAUUCUCCUACGAAAUCAAU
rnacentral:rRNA from 1 species